rnacentral:rRNA from 1 species
CGAUUAGAGUUUGAUCCUGGCUCAGAUUGAACGCUGGCGGCAGGCUUAACACAUGCAAGUCGAGCGGUAACAGGGGAGCUUGCUCCUGCUGACGAGCGGCGGACGGGUGAGUAAUGCCUGGGGAUCUGCCUUAGUGAGAGGGAUAACCACUGGAAACGGUGGCUAAUACCGCAUAAUGUCGCGAGACCAAAGUGGGGGACCUUCGGGCCUCACGCACUAGGAUGAACCCAGGUGAGAUUAGCUAGUUGGUGAGGUAAUGGCUCACCAAGGCGACGAUCUCUAGCUGGUCUGAGAGGAUGAUCAGCCACACCGGGACUGAGACACGGCCCAGACUCCUACGGGAGGCAGCAGUGGGGAAUAUUGGACAAUGGGGGGAACCCUGAUCCAGCCAUGCCGCGUGUGUGAAGAAGGCCUUCGGGUUGUAAAGCACUUUCAUUGGUGAGGAAGGAUAUAAAAUUAAUACUUUUAUAUAUUGACGUUAACCAAAGAAGAAGCACCAGCUAACUCCGUGCCAGCAGCCGCGGUAAUACGGAGGGUGCGAGCGUUAAUCGGAAUUACUGGGCGUAAAGGGCAUGCAGGCGGUUACAUAAGUCAGAUGUGAAAUCCCCGCGCUUAACGUGGGCAUUGCAUUUGAAACUAUGUAGCUAGAGUUCUGUAGAGGGGGGUAGAAUUCCAGGUGUAGCGGUGAAAUGCGUAGAGAUCUGGAGGAAUACCGAUUGCGAAGGCAGCCCCCUGGACAGUGACUGACGCUCAUAUGCGAAAGCGUGGGGAUCAAACGGGAUUAGAUACCCUGGUAGUCCACGCUGUCAACA